ACGACGAACAUGCUUAUCUCAAGACACUUGUGAACGUUAGUUCAAUCGAUUCAAAACUGAUGAAUAUGAUGUGAAAGACAAGGCUAAGGAAAAACCACUGAAAAAAUUUGAAGUUGCAAGCAUUGUUGGACGAAGACUCCACUCAAACUCAAUCAUAAUUGAGAGAAGUAUCAAAUGUGACUCAAAAUAUUGUUAGCGAGCGUUUGCACACAAUGGAAAAGAUUAACAUGUGUUUUUCCUCAAAAUUCUGCAUUUCAUAGAUGGUAAAAGUGGGAUCGCAACAAGAGGAAGAGAGAACGCGAAUAUGAUUGUAAGUAUAGGACCACAACAAAAAGGAAGAGAGCACGAGUAAGAUGGUAAGUAGAGAAUCGUAAUGGAUGAGAGAGAGAGAGAGAGAGAGAGAGAGAGAGAGAGAGAGAGAGA